rnacentral:rRNA from 1 species
AACGAACGCUGGCGGCAUGCCUAACACAUGCAAGUCGAACGAGACCUUCGGGUCUAGUGGCGCACGGGUGCGUAACGCGUGGGAACCUGCCCUUAGGCUCGGAAUAACUCCCCGAAUGGGGUGCUAAUACCGGAUAAUGUCUUCGGACCAAAGGUUUAUCGCCUUGGGAUGGGCCCGCGUUGGAUUAGCUAGUUGGUAGGGUAAAAGCCUACCAAGGCGACGAUCCAUAGCUGGUCUGAGAGGAUGAUCAGCCACACUGGGACUGAGACACGGCCCAGACUCCUACGGAAGGCAGCAGUGGGGAAUAUUGGACGAGGGGCGAAAGCCUGAUCCAGCCAUGCCGCGUGAGUGAUGAAGGCCUUAGGGUUGUAAAGCUCUUUUACCCGAGAUGAUAAUGACAGUACCGGGAGAAUAAGCUCCGGCUAACUCCGUG